rnacentral:rRNA from 1 species
CCCUUAGAUGUUCUGGGCCGCACGCGCGCUACACUGAUGCAUUCAACGAGCCUAUCCUUGACCGACAGGUCCGGGUAAUCUUUGAAUCUGCAUCGUGACGGGGAUAGAUUAUUGCAAUUAUUAAUCUUCAACGAGGAAUGCCUAGUAGGCGCAAGUCAUCAGCUUGCGUCGAUUACGUCCCUGCCCUUUGUACACACCGCCCGUCGCUCCUACCGAUUGGGUGUGCUGGUGAAAUGUUCGGAUCGGCCGUUUGUCGCGGUUUCCGCGGCUCGUGGCUGAGAAGUUCAUUAAACCCUCCCACCUAUAGGAAGGAGAAGUCGCAACA